rnacentral:rRNA from 1 species
GACGUAGGGCGCGAGCGUUGUCCGGAUUUAUUGGGCGUAAAGAGCUCGUAGGCGGCUUGUCGCGUCGGCUGUGAAAUCCCGUGGCUCAACUGCGGGUCUGCAGCCGAUACGGGCAGGCGUAGAGUUCGGUAGGGGAGACUGGAAUUCCUGGUGUAGCGGUGGAAAUGCGCAGAUAUCAGGAGGAACACCGGUGGCGAAGGCGGCAUCCUGGACCAACACUGACGCUGAGGAGCGAAAG